AAGUCGUAACAAGGUUUCCGUAGGUGAACCUGCGGAAGGAUCAUUAACACGUUCUAAACGUUUAUCAAACCAACUCUAACAGUAGCUCCCUGGUUAAUUAAGUUUCGUCAUUUUGCAAGUAGUCAGGUUUUGGUGAGGUCGCAUCCCACUUGGCAACGAGAGGGACAGUGGACAUGCCUGAUGAAAACAAGUCUAGCUGGCAACAGAGAGACGGGCGAAGAAUUAUUAAUUGGGCUUACCCUUUUCACCUACUUUCAACCGCCUUGAAAGGAAGUGAGAAACCCAUACCAUUUCACCCUAUUUUACCUAAUUGACUAAAUAAACCAUUCCUUGGAGAAAUCCUCUGGAAUGAACUAAGAUUUUAUCUUAACUAAGCACAACUCUUAGCAAUGGAUAUCUUGGUUCUC
rnacentral:misc_RNA from 1 species